rnacentral:rRNA from 1 species
CCCUUAGAUGUCCUGGGCCGCACGCGCGCUACACUGAUGAAUGCAACGAGCUCUACCCUUGACCGAAAGGCCCGGGUAAACUUGUGAAACUUCAUCGUGAUGGGGAUAGAUUAUUGCAAUUAUUAAUCUUCAACGAGGAAUUCCUAGUAAGCGCGAGUCAUCAGCUCGCGUUGAUUACGUCCCUGCCCUUUGUACACACCGCCCGUCGCUCCUACCGAUUGAAUGGUCCGGUGAAAUCUUCGGAUUGCUGACCAAGAUCCAGCAAUGGAGCUUGGUUGCGAGAAGUUGAUUAAACCUUAUUAUUUAGAGGAAGGAGAAGUCGUAACA